GUCAUGAGCAAGCCACCAGCUCUGCUGCUGGGCAAUGCCACCAGGGCAGGCUGGGGCACCCAGGGUGACCUCUCUCCUCGGGAAUGAAGGAAGGGUACCCAGCCUGCCUCCCUGGCGAGGUCAUCACGCUGGUCUCCUGCCUGACCUCUCCCACCUGUUUGCCUUGAGGGGAAGCAGCCAAGCCGCAGGCGGAGCGGGGCCCACAGGCCAGCCUGCCUGCCACACCUGCGUGCCCGCCUCACCUGCCGCCCCUGCCGGCCCUGCAGCAUUCCCUCCCCAGGGAGGAGCUGACCUCUGGCUGCCUGAUGCAGGAGGCCUCUGCCGUGAGUCACAGGGGCGCCUUGGGCAGGGAUGGGCUGGUCCAGGGGCUCGGCUGUGGGGCCUCGGCAUCACCCCCAACUCUAGACGGAUCCUGCCCCCUGGCUGUUUUUGCAUGAAAAAUAAAGCCUUCUCUGAUUCCUUCACCCAGACAGAGCCACUGCUAACGUUUUGGUGUAUUUCCUUCUGGUCUUCUCACCACACGCAGCCGUGCACAGACUGUUUUAUAAAGAUGAAAUCAGACACACAGACUGGUUAGAAGCAUGAGGAACAUUUCCCCAGGAGACCUAAAAUCUCUAACAGCUUUACUGAGAUAUAAUCAAUAUACCAGAAAUUCUCCCGUGUGAAAGUGUGCAAUUCAAUGGUUUCAGCGAAUUUACAGAGUUGUGCGCUCAUUACCGUAAUCUACUUCCAGAACAUUUUCGUUGCCCCAAAAGAACCCUGUACCCAUUAGCAGUCACUCCCCACCUCCCUCCCUCCCCCAGCCCUACGCAACCACCCAUCUUCUGUUUGUCUCUGUAGAUUUGUCUAUUCCGGACAUUCCGUACAAACGGAGUCACCCAAAGGUCCUUCGGAUCCUUGGUAUUUUUUGAAACUCCAUAUUAAACGGGCGCGCAGUGUUCCGAUCUGCGGAUGCACCGUGUUUCUUUGUUGGGUAUUUCGCUUGUCUCGAGCAUUACUGGGCUUUGGGAGGACCACCCAGCCGUGCGCAGCCACUGGAAGAUCUCCUGGUGGGAUUAUAAAAGAUGAGGCGGAAUGCGCAGCGCCCUCCCCUGUCUUGGUACCCAGCACAGGGGCUCAGUGGAAGAGUGUGAUGUCACUCGCUUUUCUCCAGAGGACAGGGAUCCCCUCCUUGGCUCAUGCUGGUACCCCUAGUGCUGUCAGUAUUGGCCCAUAGCGGGGGUCAACGAAUGUUGAAUGACAACACACAGACCUGGGCUGUCGCCUCUCCAGCAGGAGGUGCCCUGCCUACAGGAAGCCCACGCUCGGGAUGGGUCUACCGCUCCUCUUCCAGAACCCGACAGAAUGCUCCCAGGACGGCCUUUCUGACAGGGACUCUUCAUUUGCUGACGUGGGAGAUGAUUACUGGACGGAGACACCCGGAUCAGGUGGAAAAGGUGAGCCAUGUAGCCUGGAAGGAGAAUUUACCGUAUGAUCAAACCCAAGCCAAGACAAAGCUGGGCUGAGCUGCCCGGCAACAGGAGUGGGGUUUUCACGGGUCUUGUCACCUGAUUCUAAAAGGCACUUUCCCACAUAUUCCCAGCCAUGGUGGACCACUGUGGAUGUCCCCAAAAGGCUGGUUCCCAGGGGACUCUGUACCAGCGGGUCUGUGGGAAGUGCAGCUGAGACCUUUGGGGUUCUGUGUCAUCUUCCCUCCUGCAGAUCGGGGUCAGGGGGCAGCUCUGGCCCUGGGCGCAGAUCCCCCUACUCUCUGGCUGGACGCUGCUCAGGGUCCCUGGAAGGUCCCUUCCUUUGCAAAUGCUCCGUGUGUCACUGACCCGCUGUGGAAAGGCAUUUGCCUAGAUGCUGCUGUGGGGGGCGGGGGGAGGGGGGGGCGAGGACAGGUGAAGCCAGGAGCUGCCAGCCCAGAAAUAGAAUCAUAUGAAGUGUGGAGUUGCGUGUCUGGUCUCUCUCACUAGCAGUGACUCAUUCAUGCUGUUGCACACAUCAGCACGUCAUUCCUUUUUAUGGGUGAAUAAUACUCUGCUGUACGGACACACGUUAUCCAUCAUCUGCUGAUGGACACUUGGGUUGUUACCAGGACACACCCUGAGUGCUCUUACCUGCUUGCUCCUGCCAGACCUUGCCAUGGGGACAGAGUCCAUCCCCACCACCCACUUUGGAAAUCCUGUCUAUUCCAGCCCAGGUCAAAAGACUUGCUUCCCCAAAGCUUUCAUGGGUGCCCCUGUCCCUUGCUUGCCCCCACAGAGUGGGUUCAUGCCUCCCUUUGCAUCCUUGUACUGGGCAGUUGAUCUGUGUCAUUAGUGCUCCUGACACCUCCCCUCCACAUGCUGUGUGGCCAGGGUCCAGCCCAGCCAGCACACGUGGUGAGCGGAUGACCCAUGGGCCACCAUAGGGCUGAGUCAGGGUGACCCUACCGGGAAGGCUCUCCUUUUCUGCCAACCUAGGGCGCUGGGGAGAGAGACAAAUCUGGGUGGUGGUGGUGGGUCCAUUCUCUAGAUCAGAGGUGGCCUACUUUUCCCAGAAGGGGGCCAUUUAAAGUCAUAGAUAGUCACAGGCCUGCUUGCAAGACAGUGGCACUUUCAGCAUCCGAUAAAGACAGACCCACUCUGAAUUCCCAAAAAGUCUGAGAGGAAUUUGCAUUCUAUGACAGCAGUAUGGAGAGGGCUGGAAGCGGUGGAAGGAAUCUUUGAUGUACGAAUAACCGCGGGCUGGGGACUGGGCAGAUCUUCAUCCGUACUUGUGGGCACUGGACUCCCGGGGGCUUUCUGAACCUACCCACGCGAGGAUUUCGCUGUAGCCCCUAGAGGUGGAUGCCACAGGCUGGGAUGGCCAUUCAGGACAGGGGAGGGGACCUGCCAUGGCAGCCUCUGCCAGCUCCCCUGGGCCGGGUCUUCAGGGGGAGGAGGACUAAGGGCUCCAAUGUGCCCUCAGGAGACGCCCUGCUCUCAGCUCCAGUACGUGGCUGGCUGGGCCCCCUGUUUCCAGAGUUCACCAUCCAGGGGCUAGGCACACAGGGGCGCCGCCCCCCCACCCCCCCAGUUGCCCCUGCUCCUGGGGAAGUGAAACAGCCCGGGGCCCUGGUGGAACCUCCUGGCUGCACCUGGCAGCCGAUCCCAGGAACGCAGCCUGCAAAGCCCGCUGGGCUGACCUCUGCACACCCUCCCGCGGCGCCGUGCCAGGCCUUACUCAUGCUCUGGCAGUGCCAGGACCUCUCUCGGAGGCGGGGCCAACAGUGGCUUCCCGGCCCUGCGCCAGGCCCAGGCCUGCACCCUAAGCACAGCUCCUGGAUCCAGGAACCGCCUCUCUUUACGGCCGGGAGAGGGCGGCCGGAGAGGGCGAGAGCCCCGCCCAGGGUCACCCACCAAGCCAAGGAACCAGUGGGCAGCAUAAGGAGCAGCCAGAACUGGGCGCCAAGCAGCCUGGGUUCGAACCCCCGCGCUGCCCGGUCGCUAGCAGCAAGACCUCGGGAAAGUUACCCAACCACCGCGAGCCUCAGUUUUCCUGUAAGGAAACAGCCGAUCUCCGUGAAUAACUCCCCUUUCCACCUUCCUGGGAUCCCUGGAGGCAAACAGCCAGGGAGGAGGGCAGCCGGCCGGGAAGCGCGGAGUCACCACCGCCUUCUCUUCUCCUGCGCUCGCUCAAGGAGGUGGCCGUGGGGAGGGGUCUGCGCCCCGCGGGAGGCGCCAGGGUGGGCGGCCCGCCUUCUCCGGGCCCCCGACUGUGGGGUGAGGGCGAGAGGCCGCUGGGGGCCGGGAAGGUUCGAGGAGUCCCCAGGAGGUCUCUCCUUGCAGCCCCCGCCCGCCGGCGCCCAUUACACAGACACCGGGGCCGCCGCCUGGGUUCGGCCGCCCCGGGGGGGGGGGCGGGAGGGGGGCGUGUGCGUGUGCGUCUCCACUGGCAACGGCGCGGUCGCCGGGCAACCCGCGCGCCCCAGGCCCGCCGCGCCCCGGGGAGCCCCGAGGGGGAGGAACGGGGAGGGGGAACCCUGCAGCUCAGCUCAGCGCAGCGCGCCCCACCCCCCCGCCCGGGCUGGGGGUGCCUAUGGCAGCGGGGAACCUGCAUAGUCAGCUCCGGAGCCGGAGCCGGGGUGGCCGCUCGCAGGAGCUGCUCGCGGGGGCAGGGCACCUGGGCGGCCACGCGCGGCACAGAGGGAGGCAGGAAACGCAGGCCUCACUGGGACCCUGGCAAGCUCCUUCCUCCCCGGGAAAUCGAGGCAGCAAAGCCUCCAGGCCUCCUCCUGAGGCUAGGUGAGGAGGAGGGGCCGCAGGUGCCAGGGCCUGGUGAGUGGCAGACGAUUGCGCCAGCCGGGUGCUGUGCCCGUGGAGGAGGGAGCAGUGUCAGGGUGUGGGAUCCUGGAUGUCUAAGGUGAGGUCCAACUCCCGGCUGGUCCCUCUGGGGGCAGAGGGCAGCGGCGAGGACCUGCCUCCCAGAGGCCCCCAGGAUCACCCACAGAGCUGGGCAGGGUUGCAUUUUUCCGCUUGGGGUGCCUGCGUUCUAGGGCAACAUCAACCACUUCCUGCACUGGCCUGAUUUGAUGUUUAGUCACCGCUUGAGGCCACACGCUCCAACAGAAAAGCCACAGGAUUCCACAUCUCAAACCCCCAAACCCAAACCCAGAUUGUGGUCGGUGAACAGGAAGACAGCCUGUGCCAGGACCCUGGGAAGAGGGGCAUCUGGGAGCUAGAGGGGUGAAUCACGGUCCACCCCUCUCCUGGACCAGCGGCCGGGUCCAGCUCAGCAGCGCAUCUUGCGCACCUGCAAAUUCAGCUCUUGCUUUCACAGACCCCAACCCAUAUCAUUUCCCCAAGGGCCCGGUCCAGGCACUGGGAAGAGUGCACAGGUUGUGACCGCAGGUGGCAGAGUGCCGGUGCCACCACUCCAUGCUUGGCAGCCUUGGGGCAUGCUGGUCUUCUCUGAGCCUCUCAUCUGGACAUGGGCCGCCCCCCCACCAGGGGUUAGUGAGACUUGUUAGGCCCAUGUAACCCCUCAGUGCGUGUUUGGGGGCCUGACAGUGGCUCAGGAAAGGAUCCACCCUCUGGAACCCCCAGCCUGGCCUCAGAGGAGCUCCAUCGGGCAUUACCACCUCCCAGCUGGAUGACCUUGAGCAGCUGCUCAAAAGCAAUUUUUCAAGAACAAAAAGGUCAGCACGUCCAGGACUAAUCAAUUCUCGGAGAGCUCCUGCCGCCACCGCCGAGGGAGCCGGGGACCGGCGGCCCCGCCUUUCCCGCCAGCCCUCUCCCACCAGCGCCAUCACUUUUAUUGCUCCAUGAUGCCUGUCAUUAGCAGGGUGUUUGAGAUGCCCCACAGUGUUCUUACAACAUAAAACUCGGGCGACUUGCAGAAGGGGGGGCCUGACGCGUUGAUGGCCACUGGCGGCUCCGGACAGUAACAGCCCAGCUGAUGGAUCAGCUGCAAAGGGCGGCCAGGACAACAAGCAUCCAGCCCCUUGUUCAAAAGCUCGGCUGCAAAGAGACACGCUGGAAGAGCUGGGGCCCCACAUGCCUGCUCUCAGCCCUGGCCCUCAGUCCUGCAAAUCCCCCAUCAUUGUGACCUUGGGCACCUGCCCACUGUCACCCCUUCCAAACUUUUCCUCUCAAGGCUGCGCUGGUCCCCACUGCAUCCCUGUUGGGGGGCAGAAUACUCCUUCCUGAGCAUCCCCCCACCCCCCAACACAAUGCCAGGCCCCACCCCCCUCCAACACAGUGAGGCCGUUCCAUAGUGCCAUUCCGGAUGGGAAACUGAGACCCAAUGUCACCAAAGUGGGAAAGAGCAGUUGCAGAUCCAAACAGUUAUGUGACCUGCCUGGGAUGAUACGCAUGAGCUGUGCCCAGUGGGGAACCAGGUCUGCCGUUCCAGGCCCCCAGCUGUCCUUGUCCCAUAUCGUCUUGACGUCUGAUGCCUGUGACAACAGCAGCUAAAAUGCAGCACGCCUUCCAGGGCAGACCCCACACUCAGCACUUGGCGUGGACGCCCGCCCCAUCCCCACGACGACCCUAUUAUGAGGCUUCUUACACCCAUUUUACAGAUGGGGAAACCGACACAGGGCACUACAGUACUGUGCUCGAGCCCACAUGGCUGGAUACACGCGGGGGACUAGACCCCAAAUGUCUGCGUUUUGCUCUUUUAAAAAUGGCUUAGGAUAAGAAAUAUCCAAAAUUGGCAAAUCCACAGGUGCAGAAGGCAGAUUGGUGGUCGCCAGGGGCUGGGGGCGGGGAACAGGGAGAAACUGCUUAAUAGGUAUGGGGUUUCCUUCUGGGCAGUGAGAAUGCUCUGGAACUAGAUAGUGGCGGUGGUUGCACAGCAUCGUGAAUGUACUAAAUGCUACUGAAUCGUUUGCUUUGACGUGGCUAACUUUACGUUCUGUGAACUUCACUUCAAUAAAUUCUUUUUUUUAAAAAUGGCUUAGGUUUUUCUGCCACCUGUUUGGCAAGAGGGUGGGUGACCUGCCCGCUCUGGUGUCCCAGCAAAGCAGCCUGCCUCUGCUCUCCUAGGGGAGGUAUGGCCUCAGGAGAGCCACCUCUCCCAGGAAGCCAUCCUAGCUGAACCCACCUGCUCCGAUGGCCCCUCCCACCACCAC
rnacentral:lncRNA from 1 species